CACUCUAAAAAUGGCUGGGUUAUUUUUUAACCCAAAAUGCUGGGUUGAGUCUGUUGGGUUGUUUUGCUGGGUUAUUUUUUUACAUUUUAAACACUUUUUGGGUAGUUUCAGUUUUCUAGGUGUUGGGUUAAAACUGCUGGGUUAUUAUGUUGGGUUGUUUGAAGAGGCUCACGUGCUUCGCGCCCUUGAUGUUUGAAUGUGCUCAGCAAUGGUCGUCGUGAAAGGACAGAGUCACUGAAGCAGUUGUUUCAAGAGUGUGCAGAGUUUUAACGUCCAUCCAUUGAUGAGGCUAGCAAGACCUUCAAACAACUUCAGCCAAUUGCAACAAAUGUGGUGGAAUUUCUUCUCUGGACAGAAUCCUCGAAACCCUUUCCUUUCGUCCUGGCCAUGGGAAACAUGCAGCAGAUCUCUCAAUCUUUUUUCUCAAUCAGUCUCUCUGAAUACGGAAGUGACUUA